AUGUACAUGAUGGAGUGCGGUCGAUUUUGUCGCGGACAGCUACUAGAAUAUUACGCCAACUCUUCAUUACGUUGUCUCUUUGGAACAAUAUUCAGAUUCAGAACUUGAAAGAUACGAAGAAAGGAUGAAGAUACGAGGGAAAAGUCUCCAAAUUUUUAAAACACUGCUUGAAAGUUGACAACAUCAUUUAAUCAAAAGAAAUUCGUCGUUGUCAUUUGUCUGGUAUUCACAACUGAACAAGAUGAAAGCUUAUCGAGUCUGGCCAGCAGAGCAAUUUUCUGAAACACUGAUUGAAACUUAGCAAUACUGUACAUCAUUUCAUCAAAAGAAAUGCCUCGUCAUUUGUCUGAUAAUCAUCACUGAGCGAGAUGAAAGCCUAUCGAAUCUGGCCAGCAGAGCAAGU